rnacentral:sRNA from 1 species
UCCUAUUGUGUUAACGAUAUAUCUAUAAA